rnacentral:rRNA from 1 species
AGUUGUACGAGUUGAGACUCGUAGCAGAUAGCUCAGUAACACGUGGCCAAACUACCCUAUGGAUCCAGACAACCUCGGGAAACUGAGGCUAAUCUGGAAUAGGGCUCUCAUCCUGGAGUGGAGAGAGCCUGAAAUGCUCCGGCGCCAUAGGAUGUGGCUGCGGCCGAUUAGGUAGACGGUGGGGUAACGGCCCACCGUGCCAGUAAUCGGUACGGGUUGUGAGAGCAAGAGCCCGGAGACGGUAUCUGAGACAAGAUACCGGGCCCUACGGGGCGCAGCAGGCGCGAAACCUUUACACUGCACGCCAGUGCGAUAAGGGGACUCCAAGUGCGAGGGCAUAUAGUCCUCGCUUUUUGCGACCGUAAGGUGGUCGCGGAAUAAGUGCUGGGCAAGACCGGUGCCAGCCGCCGCGGUAAUACCGGCAGCACGAGUGAUG